rnacentral:lncRNA from 1 species
AAACUCUGUUGGUCUUAGCUCUUUUGUAAUUAAAUCUGGAUGUACCUCAAAAGACUCUUUUAAGACUGUGGUGUUAAAAGGCUUUCCUC